GUUCAAGCGAAAAAGAGCGUAAGGUGAAUGCCUUGGCACUGAGAGCCGAUGAAGGACGCGAUAACCUGCGAUAAGCCGCGGUAAGCUGGAAAUAAGCAAUGACCCGCGGAUUUCCGAAUGGGGAAACCCUCAUAGCGAAGAGCUAUGAAUCCUUAACUGAAUACAUAGGUUAAGGAAGGGAACCUCCCGAACUGAAACAUCU
rnacentral:rRNA from 1 species